rnacentral:rRNA from 1 species
GAUGAACGCUGGCGGUAUGCCUAACACAUGCAAGUCGAACGGGCUCUUCGGAGCUAGUGGCGGACGGGUGAGUAACGCGUGAGAAUCUGCCUUCAGGAUGGGGACAACAACGAGAAAUCGGUGCUAAAACCCAAUGUGCCGAAAGGUGAAAUACUUGUAGCCUGAAGAGGAGCUCGCGUCCGAUUAGUUAGUUGGUGGGGUAAGAGCCUACCAAGGCAGCGAUCGGUAGCUGGUCUGAGAGGAUGAGCAGCCACACUGGGACUGAGACACGGCCCAGACUCCUACGGGAGGCAGCAGUGGGGAAUUUUCCGCAAUGGGCGAAAGCCUGACGGAGCAAUACCGCGUGAGGGAGGAAGAUUUUUGGAUUGUAAACCUCUUUUUUAAAGGAAGAAGAAAGUGACGGUACUUUAAGAAUCAGCAUCGGCUAACUCCGUG